GACCUGCUGGAGUCAUUCCUGGAUGGACUUGAUGCCUUGGUGCCAGGUGUUCUACAGAUGUACGGAGAAGCUGCUGCAUCAGGCAGGAGGGUGUGCCUCAGCAGUGUUCUCAGUUGUCUUCAAAAGGAGGACACGAACCAAAACAAAAGAACAGCUGUCCUACUUGGUCUUCCAUGCUACCUUGCAGAAGAUUCCUCUGACAUAAUCAGGAUGUGUGAUGCUCAUGGUGAAACCCUUGACGUGCUAAUGAGCGGGAUGCAAGUUGGACUGUUGAUUGGACACGAAGGCCCUCUGCAUGAUGCAUUUCCAUUGGAUGUUUUCAACGUGGCUCUGGUAGUA